CGCAUACGGUGGAGUGUCUUUGUGCCGCCUGCUCGUGUGUGUGCGUGUGCAUAACAGAGACAGAGAGCUCAUGAAGGACGCCCCAUUGUCUGGUCCCCUCUUCAUAUUCAGCACUUCUCCAGAAAAAAGGAAGCGAUCGCCGGUCCCGCGACACCGCAGACCGACCCGCAGGAGCCUCACGAGGCGCAUUAGCCGCUUACGAUGAAAGGAAGGGAAAUGGCAAGGCGAACACCCAGCUAAUAACGUUCUGGAG